UACGGAAGAUCCGAGCGUUAUCCGGAAUUACUGGGCGUAAAGAGUUGCGUAGGUGGCCUAGCAAGCAAGCAGUGAAAGGUCUCGGCUCAACCGAGGACACAUUGUUUGAACUGCUAAGCUUGAGCAUGAGAGAGGUAGAUGGAAUUUCUAGUGUAGGAGUGAAAUCCGUAGAUAUUAGAAGGAACACCGAUGGCGUAGGCAGUCUACUGGCUCAUUGCUGACACUAAGGCACGAAAGCGUGGGGAGCGAACGGG
rnacentral:rRNA from 1 species